AGGGUGUAAACGCUGCAAACUUGGUGUUGGGGGCCCUUUGGGGGCAUUCAGUGCCGGAGAGAAGUUGUUAAGUCUGCUACUUGGGGAGUACGUCCGCAAGGAUGAAACUUAAAGGAAUUGGCGGGGGAGCACCGCAACGGGAGGAGCGUGCGGUUUAAUUGGAUUCAACACCGUAAAACUCACCAGGGAAGACUGUUACAUGAAGGCCGAGAUGAAGACUCUGCUAGAUUUUCAGAGAGGUGGUGCAUGGCGUCAGUGACU
rnacentral:rRNA from 1 species